UGACCUGUUCCAAGUAUGAAGGUCAUAUAUUUUCUGGGGCAUGUCCUAAUGUAUAACCUUGUAUCUGUGUUGUUAGAUCAGGAGAAAGUCUCUGACUAUGAGACUAAAUUGAUGGACUUGGAUGUGGAACAGCUCCGUAUUCCAGAACAAGAGCACAAUUGUGUGGUGAAAAUGCCGUCUGGCGAAUUCUCACGGAUUUGUAGAGGCCUGUCCCAAAUCGGGGAUGCUGUCAUGAUCACUUGUGCGGAAGGCGGGGUCCAGUUCUCAGCCAGUGGGGAGUUGGGCACUGGCAACAUCAAGCUGUCCCAGACCAACAUUGUGGACAAUGAGGAUGAGUGAACAUUUAGAUCAAAUAACCAGUACGGCUGAUCUUUACCCUCAACUACCUGAACUUCUUCUCCAGAGCUACUCCUCUCUCUCCAACACGGUCACCCUCUGCAUGUCAGCUGGCGUCCCUCUAGUGAUGGAGUACAGGAUUGCAGACAUCGGCCACAUCAAGUACUACCUGGCACCUAAAAAUUGACGAGGAUGCAUCCUAAUCGUCAACCUGACCUAAAGCACGUCAGACAACACGUGGACUGAACCCUUUUAAGAAGACUGUCUGGUGCUAGUGGAAGGUUACCUUUAAAGACGUUUGGCGGUUCUGCACUUCCCAAUAUGUUACAGAUGUCAGUUAAAUCCUGUAGGAAUGGUGUGUACUAUAUCAUGGUUAAUGACAAUAUAACUAGAGCGAGGUUGUAUGUGUUAUGUAAGAAACAUUGAAGUUGUCUGGUGGAUACAGUAUGUUUGCCACGGAUUGUUUAUCCUCAUCAUACUGCUCCUCUCAAUAAUGUAUUCUAGGCUAACUGUUUAUUCCUAUUUUACCCACAUCCUUUGUAAAUAUGCUGUUUUGUUACACACAAAUAAAGUUCUAUAG